AGCUUUGCACAGUGGCAGUAUCGUAGCCAAUGAGGUUUAUCCGAGGCGCGAUUAUUGCUAAUUGAAACACAAUCAAAGUGGAUUUAUUCCUGGUUUGCAAGCAUGGCUCAAUAUUUGCAAAUCAAUCCACAUGA